rnacentral:rRNA from 1 species
UGCGAGUUUUUGUAGUAAUACAAGGCAUACGGCUCAGUAACACGUAGUCAACCUACCCUAUGGACGAGGAUAAUCUCGGGAAACUGAGCAUAAUACUCGAUAGACCAUAAUGCCUGGAAUGGUUUAUGGUUGAAAUGAUUCGUUCGCCAUAGGAUGGGACUGCGGCCUAUCAGCUUGUUGGUGAGGUAAUGGCCCACCAAGGCGAUUACAGGUACGGGCUCUGAGAGGAGAAGCCCGGAGAUGGGUACUGAGACAAGGACCCAGGCCCUAUGGGGCGCAGCAGGCGAGAAAACUUUGCAAUGUGCGAAAGCACGACAAGGUUAGUCCGAGUGAUUUCUGCUAAAGAGAUCUUUUGCAAGUUCUAAAACCACUAGUGAAUAAGGGGUGGGCAAGUUCUGGUGUCAGCCGCCGCGGUAAAACCAGCACCUCAAGUGGUCAGGAGGAUUAUUGGGCCUAAAGCAUCCGUAGCCGGCUUUGUUAGUUUUCGGUUAAAUCCAUGUGCUCAACGCAUGGGCCGCCGAAAAUACUGCACAGCUAGGGAGUGGGAGAGGUAGACGGUACUCAGUAGGAAGGGGUAAAAUCCUUUGAUCUAUUGAUGACCACCUGUGGCGAAGGCGGUCUACCAGAACACGUUCGACGGUGAGGGAUGAAAGCUGGGGGAGCAAACCGGAUUAGAUACCCGGGUAGUCCCAGCUGUAAACGAUGCAGACUCGAUGAUGCAUUGGCAUAUAGCCAGUGCAGUGUC